AAUGACCUAACGGUUGAACCAGCAACUUGGAAGAAUGUAUAGCUAAGCUAAAUGUUUUUUUUAAAACAUAUUCGAUUUACUCGUAUAAAGUUCUAGGUAGAAUUAUGAUAAUGACAUUAUCUAUCUAUAAGUCUUGACCAACAUGCGUGCCAGCAGUCGCGGCAAGACGCUAAAGACUAGUGUUAUUCAUUUUUAAUAGGUUUAAAGGGUACCUAGACGGUAAAUUAAGCCUUAACAGGAACUAAUUUAACUAGAGUUAAAUGUAAGAGUGCAUUAACGUACUAUUGAGUGUAGAGAUGAAAUUCUGUCAUACCAGAUUAUUGGCACGGGUUUAGGCGAAAGCAUCACUUUAUGUAAUAACUGACGUUGAGGGACGAAGGCUUUGUAUCGCUAAAAGGAUUAGAUACCCUCGUAGUCUAAGCAGACAAUGAUGAAUGUCAUAGGUUAAAUAUUUUUUAGUCUAUAAAUGAAAGUGUAAGCAUUCCACCUCAAGAGUAAUUUGGCAACAUUGGAAUUGAAAUCAUUAGACCGUUUCUGAAACCAGUAGUGAAGUAUGUUGUUUAAUUAGAUGGUCCACAAAAAACCUUACCACAACUUGAAUAUUUUACAAGCGUUGCACGGCUGUCUUCAGUUAAUGUCGUGAGAUUAUGGUUAGUUCCAUAAAAUUAACGUAAACCCUUACUUUAUUUUAUUUUAUAUAAAGUAGUUCGCCGCUAUAUUGGUUAGAUAAAAGGGAAUAAGACAAGUCAUCAUGGCCUAAAUGUUGU
rnacentral:rRNA from 1 species